rnacentral:lncRNA from 1 species
AUCGGGUAGUUCCUCGGGUAGAGGAGAAGUGAUCACGUGAUCGGCUAGUUGUGUUGUUUGUGGCGUCAGAUAUAACCAAAUCCCUAUCUCUAAGCCUAAUCCUUACCCUAACCCUCACCCUAACCCUUACCCUAACCCUUACCCUAACCUCAAAACUAAUCGCUAUAACUAACUGAUGACGUAGUCUGUGAUGCAAAUUCUUCUACCCGAGGAUGUACCCGAUAAAUCGGAUUUGUCUAUGCAUAUGAG